rnacentral:rRNA from 1 species
AACGAACGCUGGCGGCAGGCCUAACACAUGCAAGUCGAACGAGGCCUUCGUGAGUGGUGGCGCACGGGUGCGGAACGCGGGGGAAGGGGCCCGUAGGUUCGGAAUAACACCCCGAAAGGGGGGCUAAUACCGGGAAAUGUCUGCGGACAAAAGAUUUAUCGCCUGUGGGUGGGCCCGCGUUGGUUUAGCUAGGUGGGAGGGUAAAAGCCGACCAAGGCGACGAUCGAUCGCGGGGCUGAGAGGACGAUCGGCCACCCUGGGAAUGAGACACGGCACAGACAUCUACGAGAGGCAGCGGUAGGGAAUAUUGGACAAUGCGCGAAAGCCUGAUCCAGCAUUGCGGCGUGAGUGAUGAAGGUCUUAGGGUUGUAACGCUCUUUUAAUCCCGAUGUUAAUGACCGUUCCGGGAGAAUAAGCCCCGGCUAACUCCGUG